CAGAUCUCGUCCGAUCGCCUAAGUUAAGAAAUGUUGAGUCUGGUCAGUACAUAGAUGGGUGACCGCUUGGGAAUAUUAAGUGCUGUAAG